CACUGAAGGAAAAUAUCUUCCUCUGAUGCGUGACCAAAUGGACAACAACCCAUGAAGCAGCAAGGCUCAUCGUGCUUUUAUUUUGAAAAUCGACACGCAAAAUGAAGCAGUCACGUGAUCCAUGCAACGGGAGGCCUCGUUUGUUGCCAGUCACGUGGUUUUCAGCAAGAUGAUACAAGCCUUGAAGCAAGGCUUCAUCGGACACGCCCCCUUUUAACCCGGAUUCAGAUGGUCCGUCACUAGCGAAGCUUCGUCCGUCACUAACGAAGCUUCGCCCGAGCAGUUGAAGCUAACGCUCUUUUUGGCCGAAGUUCGUGAAGAAGAAGCAGUGAGAAGAGCGGUGAGUUCGCUCCUGUUAACCAGCUACUUCUCUGCUUUUGCAGGAGAAGAUCAAAGGGAGUUACAUUGUUUUGGCAAAACCGUAGUGUCAACUUGAUUGUGACCCAAUUUAAAAUGUCCCUACAAAAUGAGACCAAAGCAAAGGCGUUGAGGCGUAACACUCCGAAUCAAGACCAGAAAAGAAGCAAUGAGACGUCCUUCUGAGGCUGACAUCUGGACCAAGCAGAGGAACAGCCCUGUUCAGGUCCAAACACCAGAUGCAGUCAGGAUGGAGUCCGUCGUGUUGGGUGGUCGCGUCCUGACUCACGCAGAAACACGGUAAAGGUCUCCUCACUGGGAUCAGAUGAGUCCUGGCCGGCAGCAUUCAGUUCUGAUGGACCUUCUGCUCAUUCUCAUAGGAACGCUGAGCGCCUGUCGCUGACGACUCGUCCGUUAAAUUCAGCGACUUUGUGAGGAAAUAAAACAGAAAACCU